GUGACAUAGCGACGAUAAAAGUUUGCGAACCCCAGAAAGCUUUAAAGCUGUCUACGGUUGGAAGGGGUCGGCCAGUCAACAACGGCUUGAACUUUUGCGGGAUCAGUUUUGAGGUUACCCUGAUCGAUGACGUGCCCAGGGAGGAAACAGUUGAGACAUGAAACUCACACUUCUUCCCUUUAACAAAGAGACGAUUUUCGAGGAGACGCUGAAGGACUUGCCUGACAUGGUGUUGGUGGUUGGCGACGGAGCAGGAAAAGAUGAGGAUGUCAUCCAAGUAGAUGAAAACGAAAUGGUCGAUGAAAUCUCGGAGCACGUCGUUCACGAGAGCCUGAAACACAGCUGGAGCAUUGGUGAAACCGAAAGGCAUUACAAGAUAUUCGAAAUGGCCCAGCCUUGUGACAGACUGGCGACCGGUCCAGGGUGUACCCCGCAUCUUCCCUUAAGACAGCUGGGAUAGGGGGGAGGGAAGGAGGGAUGGAUGGGUCUGGGUAACUUUCCCCUUCUCUCUGCAUCCAUCGUGUCCUACAGCAGGGCCGGCACAAGAGCUCAACCCAAAUGCAGAUACCAAUAGAGGCAGCGAUCAGAUUCACUGGUUUGAUGAACACAGUUUUAUUGUUGUUUAAUUUAUUCAUCUGACUACUAGAAUAAAAUUGUUUUUGUUUUAAA